rnacentral:rRNA from 1 species
AAUCAACGCUGGCGGCGUGCCUAACACAUGCAAGUCGAACGAGAAAGUGUAGCAAUACAUGAGUACAGUGGCGACCGGGUGAGUAACACGUGACUAACCUACCCUCUUGUGGGGAAUAACCUUCCGAAAGGAGGGCUAAUACCGCAUAACAUCGCGAGGUGAGAUUCCUUGUGAUCAAAGGAGCAAUUCGCAGGAGGAGGGGGUCGCGGCUGAUUAGCUAGUUGGUGAGGUAAUGGCCCACCAAGGCAGUGAUCAGUAUCCGGCCUGAGAGGGCGCACGGACACACUGGAACUGAAACACGGUCCAGACUCCUACGGGAGGCAGCAGCGGGGAAUUUUGCGCAAUGGGGGAAACCCUGACGCAGCAACGCCGCGCGGAGGAUGAAGGUCUUUGGAUUGUAAACUCCUUUCGAUCGGGACGAUGAUGACGGUACCGGAAGAAGAAGCACCGGCUAACUCUGUGCCAGCCGCCGCCGUAAGAC